rnacentral:rRNA from 1 species
ACGAACGCUGGCGGCAUGCCUCACACAUGCACGUCGAACGAGACCUUCGGGUCUAGUGGCGCACGGGUGCGUAACGCGUGGGAACCUGCCCUUAGGUUCGGAAUAACUCCCCGAAAGGGGUGCUAAUACCGGAUAAUGUCUUCGGACCAAAGAUUUAUCGCCUUUGGAUGGGCCCGCGUUGGAUUAGCUAGUUGGUAGGGUAAAAGCCUACCAAGGCGACGAUCCAUAGCUGGUCUGAGAGGAUGAUCAGCCACACUGGGACUGAGACACGGCCCAGACUCCUACGGGAGGCAGCAGUGGGGAGUAUUGGACAAUGGGCGAAAGCCUGAUCCAGCAAUGCCGCGUGAGUGAUGAAGGCCUUAGGGUUGUAAAGCUCUUUUACCCGGGAUGAUAAUGACAGUACCGGGAGAAUAAGCUCCGGCUAACUCCGUG